rnacentral:rRNA from 1 species
GACGAACGCUGGCGGCGUGCUUAACACAUGCAAGUCGUACGGUAAGGCCCUUUCGGGGGUACACGAGUGGCGAACGGGUGAGUAACACGUAAGUAACCUGCCCACAACUUUGGGAUAACGCUAGGAAACUGGUGCUAAUACUGGAUAUGUGCUCCUGCUGCAUGGUGGUGGUUGGAAAGCUCCGGGGGUUGUGGAUGGACUCGCGGCCUAUCAGCUUGUUGGUGGGGUAGUGGCCUACCAAGGCGGCGACGGGUAGCCGGCCUGAGAGGGUGACCGGCGACAUUGAGACCGAGAGACGGCACAGACACCGACGGGAGGCAGCAGGGCGGAAUAUUGAACGAGGGGCGCCAGCCGGAUGCAGAAGCGCCGCGGGCGGGAUGACGGCCUUAGGGUUGUAAACCGCUUUCAGCAGGGACGAAGCUUUUUGUGACGGUACCUGAAGAAGAAGCACCGGCUAACUACGUG